AGCGGGCGAGGCGGGCCGGGGAGCUGGCAGGGGCUCGGACACAGGCGGAGAGCUCCAGGAGCCCCCCGCGAGGCAGGUGCAGAGGAAAAGAGCAGAAGGCGGGAGUCUUCCCAAGGAAGGAGGGACCGAGAGACACCCAGGGGAGGAGGAGACGGGGAGGUGAAGAAACAGCCUCAGCUACUUGAGGCAUGCCCAGGAUGUUUAACGAAGCCGGAAAGUGCAACACACACCAGGCUGGCUUUUCCUAGGUCUCAAGGAAGUUAGGAGAGGAGGAGGAGGAGGAGGCCGGGAGCACGCUGAGAAGUUGGGGAGGUGAUGGCAAGUACUGAGACCGGAAGAAAACCAGCUAGGGGGCCCGUGAGCUUGAAAUUGAGGUUUAAUGGAACAAAGGGAGCGAUCGGGCUGGGAAGGGUGGGAGCCGCGGGGGAAAGAGCCAGAUGGGACGGGGCUUCCAAGUGGUGGUGCUUGGAGUUCGGACCCCUGCGUUCCCAGCCGCGCCUUUGUUUGCAGGGUCUUACACGUCUGAAUAAGAGCUUGAAGUUUAAGGCAUAAGGGUGCGAGAGAGGACUAUAUUUAGAUGUCUGACGUGGAGGCAGCGAGCUACGGGGGAGCAGCUCAGGUGUGGGGCCAGCCUCGGUCUUCAGGUGGGACCCCAAGGACAGAAGAAGGGACGCCAAGUGAUAAAAUGGCUUCAGGGUGGUCUCUUACACUGGAUACCUUUUCCCGGACCUCAGUUUCUCUUUCUGUCCCUCUCCACCUCCCCCAAACCCUUUUCCCCUAUCCUCCUUUUCUUCUUCAAGACAGAGUCUCGAAUGCAUCCCAAGCUGGCCUCACACUCAAGUUAUCUUCCUGCCUCAGCCUUCAGAGAGCUCUUGGACCCGUGUCUCUGGAGAUCCCUUAGCAAACUGAAAAUGUUUGCCAUCUCACGAAAUGUUCACUGAUCAAAAUGUAUAAACCUCAGUAGGAAGGCAUGUCUCGAAAAAAAAUUAGACAAAUAUAAAGUGUAUAGACUUUCCUCUCUAGAAUUAAAACCUGUAAAAUAUUGUGAACUUGGGCAUGGUGGCUCAUACCUUUACCUUAGUACUUGGGAGGCGGAGGCAGACAGAUAUCUGCGAGUCUGAGGUCAGCCUGGUCUACCUAGAGAGUUCUAGGAUUGCCAAGGUGACACAGUGAGACCCUGUCUGAAAACAAAAACAGAAACAAACCAACAACACCCUGCCAACACCUUGAGAGCAGAACCGGUGUCUCCUUUUUCUGUUUCUUUAGAGAACACAGCUUUCACACUCUUAUCCAGUGCAAAGACAAGUGAGAUGCUAAGACCCAGCCAGCCCUUUCCUCCAAGCAGCAGACAUGAGGUGCAGAGAACCCGAGGCACCUCAACCAUCACAGAUCAAGAGGAGAAGUCCUCUCCCCUCAGAUGUGCCCUGUCCUGCAGGCUUCGCUUAACCAAUGUCAGUCACCCAGGCUACAUACCCGGGUGUAGCUGUCCAAUUUAUCAUCCGAGGAGGAACUGUCUGUCUCCUUAGAACAACUCAGCUGGAGCUCGGGAGCUCAGUGUGGUGUGUGCACACUGAGCCUGUCAAGGCCUGAUCCCUAGCACACAACUUCCGCUCUCCAAAUCUCUUGGCCAAAGUUAACUCUUUUAUUAGGUCUCAGUAUAGAUGCGAUCUUGAGAUAAAAUCGUUCAGGAGUCCUUUCCUUACUCUAUCUUCUCUGCUAGAACUAGGCUGCCCGUAUCUAAGCAACCUCCCUUUCUGGGUAUGUGAACUUGAAUAAGCGUGUGUGCGCGUGUGAGCACGCGUGCAUGCCUGCGUACGUGCACACGCGCCCUCAAGUGUGAGCUCAAGUGUACACGAGAGUGAAGGCAGCACAGUAUAUUUCUGGGGUAAGCUCUCUCUCUCCACAUGUGGGUCCCUGGGAUCUAAGUCAGGUCUUCAGGCUUGGUGGCAAGUGCCUCUCCCCGCUGAGCCGACUUGCCAGCCCAAGUUACUGAACCCCUUUACACCUUAGGGUUCUUCUUUGUCAGGGGGAGUACAGUACUUCAGCUAUUUUCCUGAAACGUUGUGAGGAUGAAAGGUCUGACGCACAAUUCUAACAGUGUUAUCAUCACCUCUGGACUCUGUAACCCUCACACCGGCAGACCAGGACCUUUUCACUAACAUACUCCUUAGCUGCUCUGACCAAAAGGUGCAUGAACCUUACUAAGGGACCCUGGUGAGAGCUGGGUGUGGGCUGAAGAAAACCGUAUAUUUGUGUCCACAGCGGGUUGUUGUGGGCCCAGUAACCAAGGAGGCAGGAACAAUCUGCCAGGCAGAUUAUCGCGCCUCGCUGGGACUCCAGGUAAUCCAUUAAGUGGACAACCCUGCCCUCUGGUGGACUCAUAAGAAAUGUCAGUCCGGUGGUAUUGCUCUUUUGCCCUUUAGACUUCGAGUCCGGAAGUGCCUUUCCUCAACCUGGAACCCAGGAGAACCCAGGAGUGGGAGGCAAACGCUAGACCGGUGAACGACACCGUCAACCCAAGUUCUGAAACAUAGAUUUACAUUGUGUGGGAAGUGAAGUAAGCCUGGAGUGAAUGUGUACGGAGCAGUCUUUAUAAAGACCCCAGUGCCACAGACCCACAGGAAUUGGCAAAGCGUCUCCCAGGUCUCCCCACGUCAGGCUCGGGGAAUCAGCAAAGCCUUCCUUUGGUUCCUGUGUGAAUGCGGAAAGAGUUCAUGGAAAGCAUCGAACAGCAGCUUCCUCCCACCUGCUGUGUACAGCCUGACCACUCCCUCCCCUCCUCCUGUCACUGUACACAGUCAACUGAGUUUCUGCAUUGCAUGCUGGAGCUUCUCCGUCAGAAGACUCAGGAAGCAACUCCGAAGGCGACGUGGUGAAAGGAUAGAGCUCAGGCUGGGAGUGAGAAGGUCAUUUCCUUUAGCUUUUCACAACGGCUCCUUCUGGGAGUCAGCAGUGGCUCAAGGGAGGGAGGUAUUUCCAGCUCCUGCCUUCACCGGGCUUUGACAUCCUCCUUUCUCUCUCUCUCUCUGUCUCUGCUUCUCUGUCUCUGUCUCUCUCAUUUUGUUCUGUUUGUUUUGUUUUUCGAGACAGGGUUUCUCUGUGUAACAGCCCUGGAACUCUCUCUGUAGCCCAGGCUGGCCUCGAACUCCCCCGCAGGGCCUGCCUCCGCCUCCGCGGUGCUGGGAUUAACGGUGUGAUUAAAGCGCAGCGGUUUUGCCGAGAAGAGGGAUAAGACGGGCGAGUCUAUUGGAGAAAAGCCUCGCUGGCCUUCGCGUCCUUUCUUCAGGAGCUAGGGAGCGCAGACUUGGUUAAUCUUUUCCCAGAAGGAGGGCCCAGGCCCUGACGUGUUACAAUUGCCGCCGCGGCUCCGGACAAGGGCUUCCUGGGGCUCCCUCAGCCCAGGAGCCCCAGUCAAUGCAGAAGUUGGGGCCAGGAAAGCCUAGUCCGGAAUGUUGGGGGACUCCUAAGACGUGAAGCCAGGGGCUUUCUGCAAGCGUUCACUCCGGCCACACCCAAUUCCAGCCACCCCACGGCCUCCCGCGGGCCGGAGCUGGGGGCCGGGGGUGGGGGGGAGCUCGGACGGGGACGGAGCUGGAGGUCGGGGCCCCCGGCGGGUGCCGAGGUCUGCAGAGGGCCCUUCGGACACUCGGCCUCACCUCUGCCCGCGGGCCACCCUGGGCUGCCCCGCUCCGUCCCAGGGAGAACCGGGAGAGGAGCCCUGAGGUCCAUCCAGCUCCCGGCGCGAGCUUUCCGGGUCGGGGCCACGCGUCCCCGUCGGGGCG